rnacentral:snRNA from 1 species
GUAUGUGAGAACAAUCCGGGUACAACUUCUAUCUUCCACUGAUCACAAGGGUUAAUUUGGCUAAUCUGGCUGGUUUGGUAGGCGUCUUCUUUUUCUCUCACUGCUCCAUGUGCAUCCCUCUUAAAGCUAUGUGGUGGAUGUUCCAUAUUAAAGGAGAGAUAUUCUUCAAUCAAGGGCAUAUGACUAACUGCACUCCUAUACUAGAACUUCCAAAUAAACUCUCAAGUUCAUUAGGGGUGUGCAUAAGAUCAUGAGUUUCAGAUACUGUAUUUACCACUGCAAAAAAAGC